UUUGUUGACAGUUCCGUGUACUUGGGCUCGGGGCAUGGUGGGUGUCGCCGAGGUCCUCCCUGCGUGGGCGGGGAGGUGCUGCCGUCCGUUAUAUAAUGUAGUGCAGUGUUGGCAGCCUUCUCUCCCCAGUCUUCAGGACCUCCUCGGUUUACAAACGGGCUCUCGGAGACGUGCCAGGCGAGGGGCAUUCAGAUCAAGCCUGCCCCGCCUGGGCGUCCUGUCCCCGCAUCACAAUGCCCGCGUGGGCCGCAGUCCCGAGAGUGGAAGUGGCGCCCCGGCUUCAGAGGCGGUGGUCCCUCAACAGGGUUUUGCCAGGUGCCGCGGUCGCAGCAUCUUCCGAGAACCCGCGGCUCCCAGGAGAGGAGGCCAGCGCUUUGAGGAGCCGGGAGCAAGAGAAACAGCCGGGGCCGUUUCAAGUCUUCGAAGGUGCUAGUAGGCUCUCUAACCCUCGGACUCAGCACCCAGUGUCAUAGCAAGCGAAAUUAAAUGCAGCCACAUCCUUCAUAAAAAUAUGCUUUGCGGCACACCUUGUUCUCUUGAGCUCAACUUUAUUGCACUUCACAGGUGUUGCGUUUUUUACAAACUGAAGGCAAAACUCUCCACCAGCAAAAAGAUGACAACGCGCUUCAUCGCUAUUCUGCCUUUACAGCGGUGGUCUGGAACCGAACCCGCCAUAUUGCCAAGGAAUGCCUGUAUUUUAUAGUAAAAUGUAAUUUUUACUAAGCUUUUAAGCAUAUAUGUGUAAUUUUGCUUCUACUAAUCUUUAAAUUCUGUUGUUUUUAUUGUAUAGUCCUGUGUAAGAAGGGCAGGAGUAAUUAUUUUCUCAGAUUGCAGAUUUCUUGAGAAG